UACGUAGGGUGCAAGCGUUGUCCGGAAUUAUUGGGCGUAAAGAGCUCGUAGGCGGUGUGUCACGUCGGCCGUGAAAACCUGGGGCUUAACUCUGGGCGUGCGGUCGAUACGGGCAUCACUAGAGUUCGGCAGGGGAGACUGGAAUUCCUGGUGUAGCGGUGAAAUGCGCAGAUAUCAGGAGGAACACCGGUGGCGAAGGCGGGGUCUCUGGGCCGAUACUGACGCUGAGGAGCGAAAGCAUGGGUAGCGAACAGG
rnacentral:rRNA from 1 species